UACAGAGGGUGCUAGCGUUAAUCGGAUUUACUGGGCGUAAAGCGUGUGUAGGCGGUUCGUUAAGUCGGGUGUGAAAUCCCUGGGCUCAACCCGGGAAUUGCAUUCGAUACUGGCGAGCUAGAGUACGGUAGAGGGCGGCGGAAUUCCGGGUGUAGCGGUGAAAUGCGUAGAUAUCCGGAGGAACACCGAUGGCGAAGGCAACCGCCUGGGCCUGUACUGACGCUGAGACACGAAAGCGUGGGUAGCAACAGG
rnacentral:rRNA from 1 species